GGCCAUCUUGGAGGCUGAGGCGGCGGCGGCGCUGCGGCGGGUUCGGUGGGCCCAGUCCCGGGGCGGUGCGGCUGUUUCGGGCGCGGGCCCCGCUUUUCCGCACCCUGCUCCGGCCUCGACCACGGCGAGCCUGAGCGCGGCGGCGGCCCACGCGCAGCGACAGGGAGAAUGAGCAGCACCAGCAAUAAGAGGGCUCCAACCACAGCAACCCAGAGGCUGAAGCAGGACUACCUUCGCAUUAAGAAAGACCCGGUGCCUUACAUCUGUGCCGAGCCCCUCCCUUCGAAUAUUCUCGAGUGGCACUAUGUCGUCCGAGGCCCAGAGAUGACCCCUUAUGAAGGUAAGGAUUCUGUACUUAGGUAGAAGAACACCAGGCAGUUUUUAUAUUCUGAAUCAACCUUGCCUGUUCAACAUCUUUGAUUUGCAAACAGCAGCCUUUUUACUUUGGAUGUGCGCUAGUUAAAUUGGCUUAGUUGGAACUCCUCCUCGUCUGCUUCUCCACACGCUGGAAGUGUUUGCUCCGCUGAUGUGUCUCAGCCUGCAGGGCCGCCUGUAGCGUCUGUGUUCACCAGCCUCUGACACCGUGGGGCCAUAGCUGAGAAAACCAGACCAGGGUAAACACUGAAGCUGGCAUGUUCUACUAUUUCUUAAGACCCAGUGCAUAUCGUCAAAGGAAAGGCAUAUAUAUUCAGUUAUUCAGUGUGCCCUCUGUGCUGGGCGCCCCCAGGGUUUCACGAUCCCCAGGACGGUCUCAGAGCUAAGCGGAAGUACCCCUGUGUGGUGGCACCUGGGGCUUCGGGAGGCUGCAGGACCUGCCCAGUAUCUCAGCCCUUC
rnacentral:sRNA from 1 species